AGUGAACGCUGGCGGUAGGCCUAACACAUGCAAGUCGAACGGCAGCACAGUAAGAGCUUGCUCUUACGGGUGGCGAGUGGCGGACGGGUGAGGAAUACAUCGGAAUCUACUUUUUCGUGGGGGAUAACGUAGGGAAACUUACGCUAAUACCGCAUACGACCUACGGGUGAAAGCAGGGGAUCUUCGGACCUUGCGCGAUUGAAUGAGCCGAUGUCGGAUUAGCUAGUUGGCGGGGUAAAGGCCCACCAAGGCGACGAUCCGUAGCUGGUCUGAGAGGAUGAUCAGCCAGACGGGAACUGAGACACGGUCCAGACUCCUACGGGAGGCAGCAGUGGGGAAUAUUGGACAAUGGGCGAAAGCCUGAUCCAGCCAUACCGCGUGGGUGAAGAAGGCCUUCGGGUUGUAAAGCCCUUUUGUUGGGAAAGAAAAGCAGCAGGUUAAUACCCCGCUGUUCUGACGGUACCCAAAGAAUAAGCACCGGCUAACUUCGUG
rnacentral:rRNA from 1 species